AUCCUCAGGCGCAAGUGUGAUCCCUCGUUUAGGAACUCGGCAAAUUGGCCCCGUAACUUCGGAAGAAGGGGUGCUCCGCUUCGUGAUCCGGUUUACCCGGUGAGCGUCGUGGAGUUGCAAUAAAGAGGCUCAGGCGACUGUUUACUAAAAACACAGGGCUCUGCGAAGUCGAAUACGACGUAUAGGGUCUGACGCCUGCCCGGUGCCGGAAGGUUAAGGGAGAGGUUAGCCGCAAGGCGAAGCUUCGAACUGAAGCCCCGGUAAACGGCGGCCGUAACUAUAACGGUCCUAAGGUAGCGAAAUUCCUUGUCGGGUAAGUUCCGACCUGCACGAAUGGCGUAACGAUCUGAGCGCUGUCUCAACGAGGGGCACUGCGAAUUUGUGGUACCGGUGAAGACGCCGGUUGCCCGUCACAAGACGAAAAGACCCCGUGCACCUUUACUACAUCCUAGUAGUGAAUGCUGGCGCAGUAUGCGCAGGAUAGGUGGGAGGCUUUGAACCCGGGAUCUCGGUCUCGGGGGAGCCAACGGUGAGAUACCACCCUUACUGCUCCGGCGUUCUAACCUCGUUCUGUUAUCCAGAUCAGGGACACUGCUAGGUGGGUAGUUUGACUGGGGCGGUCGCCUCCUAAACUGUAACGGAGGCGCUCGAAGGUUCGCUCAGGCUGUUUGGAAAUCAGCCAUAGAGUGCAAAGGCAUAAGCGAGCUUGACUGCGAGUCCUACAAGACGAGCGGGUGGGAAACCAGGACUUAGUGAUCCGGUGGUUCCGCAUGUAAGGGCCAUCGCUCAACGGAUAAAAGGUACGCCGGGAUAACAGGCCGAUCCUAGCCAAGAGUUCACAUCGACGCUAGGGUUUGGCACCUCGAUGUCGGCUCAUCGCAUCCUGGAGCUGUAGCAGGUUCCAAGGGUCCGGCUGUUCGCCGGUUAAAGCGGUACGUGAGCUGGGUUUAGAACGUCGCGAGACAGUUCGGUCUCUAUCUGUGAUGGGCGCAGGAGAUUUGAGUGGGGCUGACCUUAGUACGAGAGGUCCGGGUUGGACGGACCUCUAGUGUAUCGGUUGUCACGCCAGUGGCAGCGCCGAGUAGCUACGUCCGGAAGGGAGAAACGCUGAAGGCAUCUAAGCGUGAAACCCUCCACGAGAUGAGAUCUCCCGAGCCGUAAGGCUCCUGAAGGCUCCUGGUAGACUACCAGGUUGAUAGGCCAGAUGUGGAAGCGUCGCGAGACGUUAAGCUGACUGGUACUAAUAAGCCGUGCGGCUUGACCU
rnacentral:rRNA from 1 species